rnacentral:lncRNA from 1 species
AGACUGCCACCCUAGAUUGCCCAGGCGUGUCAUGAGCUUUGCCCUGCAAUACAAGCCUAGGAAGAGUUGUUGGAGGUGCUCGAUUCUAGGAUUUCUGAUGUCACCAGUCCAAGUGCGGUGGACAUGCUCCUCUUCUUCCUCUUCGUCCCCCAAGGUAGUGCCUUUCAUCGAUUGCGUCUGUCUUCUUUAAAUCAUCCGUCACUUCGAAGUCUUGGCUUUAUUUAAUGAUGGGGGGAUCUUUGAGGGUUUUUAUUGACGCAGAUCGUAUUCUUUUGUUGUGGCUUCUUUUCUUAUUCUUAAUGAUUUCUUUCCUUUGGCAUGAUGGGUUUGAGUUUGGGAACCCCAAAGUUCAACUUUGGGAAGAUAUUGGGUGGUGAAACUGUAAUUUAGUUGGAUUUCAGAUGCAAUUUAUACUGUCUCAUCAAAAUUGAAGUUUCAAUGUACAAGUUGUUCUGGUUAAUACUUACCAAAUUUCAUCUUUUUUUUGCUUCUGCUUAUCAACCUGUUAGUUACUUUGAAGUUGAAGCAUAACAAAUUGUUAGUAACUUUAUAAGUUAGAGCGUGCAGUUUAGAGUAAUGGACUGCUGCAAAUUAUUUAAUUAAUUGUAUUGAUUACACUGCAUCCCAGUUUCCUUUAUGGAAUUCUAUCAGCAGAUUUGCUGUAAUUUUAGUUCAGUGUUCAUGUUAAUGCCAAAGGCAGUCUCUUUCCUUUUCUGCCUUCCGUUUUCUCCAAUCUCCAAAUAGGACUUUUCUAUGGCACAUCAGGUCAGUUGCAUACACAUGGAAAGAGUUUGAAUUCCUAUCCAUAAAGAGAGGGAAACCUACAGAUAAUUGAUAUAAGACCAAGAAUGUUAUGAAAUUUACUAAUUGAAUUUUUUUUAUCGGCGCAUGGUAUCUUUAUGGUUUCAGCAUCAGGCUCUAAAUAACUUGACUUUGUAGAAAGUGAAGUUGUUUGCUGAUAGUUUUGGCUAUGAACUUGCUUACUAUUGUCUUAUCCUUGAGCAAGAAUGAGCCAGCUGCCAGUGGUUCAAUGUUAGAGGUUAUUUCCCUUUGGGACUUAUCAUAUUACAAUCUGAUUUUUAUACUUGUAUGAGAUAUAGUUAAAAUUAUGUAUCAUGCAUACUAUUUUUUGCAAAAUAGUAGCGAAUCACUUCAGUAGAAACUAACAUCGUGCUACAAAUUAUUGCUAGGUGGGGUUGACGAGACCACUGGAGAAGUUGAUCCCUGAUGCUAUUUCGGAUCAAGCAAAAGGUCUUGUAAUACAGACUGCUGUAAAUGUCUGAAUAAUGGCUAUAUAGUUGGGACCUGUAGAGAGGAUGGUUCCUGGUUUCCACCAUCUGCCAUCUCUCUUCAUUUGGUUUUGGAUGGGAGACCCAGGUCAGUUCAUUUCUUUCCCUAUGUAUGUUUUAAUUUUUAACAAAUUAUUAAUUUGAAAAGACUCUUGAGAUCAUGAGAUGAAUGAGCGAAAUGAGUAUUUGAGUUUUUCUCCCCUUGGAUGGAGGCAAGCUAACCGAUUAUAUAUUGUCCCGAGAAACAAAUAGGUUAUCAGAACUUUUAGUGGAAAUGUGCAUUAUUUAUCAGUUGGUUCAGGAUUGAGUGCAGCUGCUGGCACUGUUUGAUGUGUGACUGUGGCUGAUAUAUGUGCAGAUGAUGGUGCCUAUAGCUGUAGCUAAGGUAUGGGUUGUCCUAACAUCGACCUGCUUCUGCGAAUUAAGACAGUCAGAUUAGUUGCUGAUAUAGGUCGAAUCAAAUUGAGGAUUCUUCUUCAUUGAACUUGGAUUGGCUUCCAAAGUCUUUUCUUUUUAGAGAUUUCAGAUUAACAAGAACUGCUUCUUACUGUAUGUUUAUCAUGUAUUUUCAAAAAAAUAUCUGUUUUUUCAUUUCCUUUGCGUUGCUGUACGGUUCCACGACUCCUGAAAUUAGCAAAUACUUGAGUUGGUCUCCCUGCAUUCCCAUUCCAUGCACUUUGAAGAAGUAAAAAUAGAAGGAAAUACCAUGCUCUGAAAAGCCAAAUUAUUUAUGCCUAUUUCUGAUUGGAAUUUUCUAGUUGGUGAUGAUGCCAUGUUUAAUACUCAACACUACAUUGUUGCUCUGGUUGUUCUCCAUCGAAAACCUCGGAACGGUCUAUUCUUUGUAACAUGGCAUUUGGGUUUCCUCUACUGCAGGUGCAUUUGUGGAUUGUUCAACAUCACGAAACUCCUGCUUCUCCAGUGCUCCUGCCAAGGCAUCAGACAUCCGAGGCCUCCUGCAGCCGUUCUCUAUAUUGCUCUUGCUGAUCUAGUCCUUAAGAUAGAAAGUCAACAUGAUACAGAUUUGAACCAAGAAACAUUCCUUAGCUGCAAAUUUAGUCUCUUAAAGUGAUCCUUGUUGUUCUGCAUUGCAUAUUGAUCCCUAAUCUUUGGUUUUUAUGUACAGAGAGUGGCAAUUAAAUGUUUGAACAGAUUAAACUUCACUUUAUAAGUGGAUUACUUUAAUUAUCAGUUCUGGUAUUCCACAAGUGUACAUAUUGGAAACAUGGAAGUGCUGCUUGUGCCAAAGACUCUUGCUUCUGUCAGAAUCUAUAUGUGGUUAUGAGAGAUAAUACUGCGAUUGCUUGGAUGUAUGCCUUGAAACGCUAAUACAGCUUUUCUAGUGUAUAUAUAUAUAUAUAUAUAUAUAUAUAUAUAUAUAUAUAUAUAUAUAUAUAUAUAUAUAUAUAUAUAUAU